CCUACGGGUGGCAGCAGUGAGGAAUAUUGGUCAAUGGCCGGAAGGCUGAACCAGCCAAGUCGCGUGAGGGAAUAAGGCCCUAUGGGUUGUAAACCUCUUUUGUCAGGGAGCAAAGGCGUCCACGUGUGGACGAGUGGAGAGUACCUGUAGAAAAAGCAUCGGCUAACACCGGGCCAGCAGCCGCGGUAAUACGGAGGAUGCGAGCGUAAUCCGGAUUGAUUGGGUUAAAGGGGUGCGUAGGCGGAGGGUCAAGUUAGCGGUAAAAUUUCGGGGCUCAACCACGUCGUGCCGUUGAAACUGACGCCCUUGAGUGAGUGAGAAGUAAGCGGAAUGCGUGGUGUAGCGGUGAAAUGCAUAGAUAUCACGCAGAACGCCGAUUGCGAAGGCAGCUUACCGGCGCUCAACUGACGCUGAGGCACGAAAGUGCGGGUAUCGAACAGGAUUAGAUACCCGGGUAGUC
rnacentral:rRNA from 1 species